UACGUAGGGGGCAAGCGUUGUCCGGAAUCAUUGGGCGUAAAGAGCGCGUAGGCGGUCCGAUAAGUCGGCUGUGAAAGUCAAGGGCUCAACCCUUGAAAGCCGGUGGAUACUGUGAGGCUAGAGUACGGAAGAGGCGAGUGGAAUUCCUGGUGUAGCGGUGGAAUGCGCAGAUAUCAGGAGGAACACCAAUAGCGAAGGCAGCUCGCUGGGACGUUACUGACACUGAGGCGCGAAAGCGUGGGGAGCGAACAGG
rnacentral:rRNA from 1 species